rnacentral:rRNA from 1 species
UCAUCUCCGGGGGUAGAGCACUGUUUCGGCAAGGGGGUCAUCCCGACUUACCAACCCGAUGCAAACUGCGAAUACCGGAGAAUGUUAUCACGGGAGACACACGGCGGGUGCUAACGUCCGUCGUGAAGAGGGAAACAACCCAGACCGCCAGCUAAGGUCCCAAAGUCAUGGUUAAGUGGGAAACGAUGUGGGAAGGCCCAGACAGCCAGGAUGUUGGCUUAGAAGCAGCCAUCAUUUAAAGAAAGCGUAAUAGCUCACUGGUCGAGUCGGCCUGCGCGGAAGAUGUAACGGGGCUAAACCAUGCACCGAAGCUGCGGCAGCGACGCUUAUGCGUUGUUGGGUAGGGGAGCGUUCUGUAAGCCUGCGAAGGUGUGCUGUGAGGCAUGCUGGAGGUAUCAGAAGUGCGAAUGCUGACAUAAGUAACGAUAAAGCGGGUGAAAAGCCCGCUCGCCGGAAGACCAAGGGUUCCUGUCCAACGUUAAUCGGGGCAGGGUGAGUCGACCCCUAAGGCGAGGCCGAAAGGCGUAGUCGAUGGGAAACAGGUUAAUAUUCCUGUACUUGGUGUUACUGCGAAGGGGGGACGGAGAAGGCUAUGUUGGCCGGGCGACGGUUGUCCCGGUUUAAGCGUGUAGGCUGGUUUUCCAGGCAAAUCCGGAAAAUCAAGGCUGAGGCGUGAUGACGAGGCACUACGGUGCUGAAGCAACAAAUGCCCUGCUUCCAGGAAAAGCCUCUAAGCAUCAGGUAACAUCAAAUCGUACCCCAAACCGACACAGGUGGUCAGGUAGAGAAUACCAAGGCGCUUGAGAGAACUCGGGUGAAGGAACUAGGCAAAAUGGUGCCGUAACUUCGGGAGAAGGCACGCUGAUAUGUAGGUGAAGCGACUUGCUCGUGGAGCUGAAAUCAGUCGAAGAUACCAGCUGGCUGCAACUGUUUAUUAAAAACACAGCACUGUGCAAACACGAAAGUGGACGUAUACGGUGUGACGCCUGCCCGGUGCCGGAAGGUUAAUUGAUGGGGUUAGCCGCAAGGCGAAGCUCUUGAUCGAAGCCCCGGUAAACGGCGGCCGUAACUAUAACGGUCCUAAGGUAGCGAAAUUCCUUGUCGGGUAAGUUCCGACCUGCACGAAUGGCGUAAUGAUGGCCAGGCUGUCUCCACCCGAGACUCAGUGAAAUUGAACUCGCUGUGAAGAUGCAGUGUACCCGCGGCAAGACGGAAAGACCCCGUGAACCUUUACUAUAGCUUGACACUGAACAUUGAGCCUUGAUGUGUAGGAUAGGUGGGAGGCUUUGAAGUGUGGACGCCAGUCUGCAUGGAGCCGACCUUGAAAUACCACCCUUUAAUGUUUGAUGUUCUAACGUGGACCCGUGAUCCGGGUUGCGGACAGUGUCUGGUGGGUAGUUUGACUGGGGCGGUCUCCUCCUAAAGAGUAACGGAGGAGCACGAAGGUUGGCUAAUCCUGGUCGGACAUCAGGAGGUUAGUGCAAUGGCAUAAGCCAGCUUGACUGCGAGCGUGACGGCGCGAGCAGGUGCGAAAGCAGGUCAUAGUGAUCCGGUGGUUCUGAAUGGAAGGGCCAUCGCUCAACGGAUAAAAGGUACUCCGGGGAUAACAGGCUGAUACCGCCCAAGAGUUCAUAUCGACGGCGGUGUUUGGCACCUCGAUGUCGGCUCAUCACAUCCUGGGGCUGAAGUAGGUCCCAAGGGUAUGGCUGUUCGCCAUUUAAAGUGGUACGCGAGCUGGGUUUAGAACGUCGUGAGACAGUUCGGUCCCUAUCUGCCGUGGGCGCUGGAGAACUGAGGGGGGCUGCUCCUAGUACGAGAGGACCGGAGUGGACGCAUCACUGGUGUUCGGGUUGUCAUGCCAAUGGCACUGCCCGGUAGCUAAAUGCGGAAGAGAUAAGUGCUGAAAGCAUCUAAGCACGAAACUUGCCCCGAGAUGAGUUCUCCCUGACCCUUUAAGGGUCCUGAAGGAACGUUGAAGACGACGACGUUGAUAGGCCGGGUGUGUAAGCGCAGCGAUGCGUUGAGCUAACCGGUACUAAUGAACCGUGAGGCUUAACCUU